UAUUAUCGCAACUAAUUCAUUAAUGUUGAUUCAUAUACUUGGUUAUUUUAACUGGUGAUUCAUAUGGGUGAUUCAUAUAAUUGCAGAGUAACAGGUUAACUGGUUACUUGGUGAUUCAUAUUUUGUUGGUGAUUUAUACGGAUGAUUCAUAUGGGUGAAAUACUAAAAUAAUAUUUUAAUUGGUGAUACAUAUAUUGUGCUGG
rnacentral:lncRNA from 1 species